rnacentral:tRNA from 1 species
CCGACCUUAGCUCAGUUGGAAGAGCGCGAGACUGUAAUUGGCUAAAGAUUAUCUUGAGGUCGCCUGUUCGAGCCAGGCAGGUCGGA